rnacentral:rRNA from 1 species
UAGAGUUUGAUCAUGGCUCAGAUUGAACGCUGGCGGCAUGCUUUACACAUGCAAGUCGAGCGGCAGCGCGGGGCAACCUGGCGGCGAGCGGCGAACGGGUGAGUAAUACAUCGGAACGUACCCAGUUGUGGGGGAUAGCCCGGCGAAAGCCGGAUUAAUACCGCAUACGACCUGAGGGUGAAAGCGGGGGAUCGCAAGACCUCGCGCAGUUGGAGCGGCCGAUGGCGGAUUAGCUAGUUGGUGAGGUAAUGGCUCACCAAGGCGACGAUCCGUAGCUGGUCUGAGAGGACGACCAGCCACACUGGAACUGAGACACGGUCCAGACUCCUACGGGAGGCAGCAGUGGGGAAUUUUGGACAAUGGGGGAAACCCUGAUCCAGCCAUUCCGCGUGAGUGAAGAAGGCCUUCGGGUUGUAAAGCUCUUUCGGCAGGAACGAAACGGUCUUUUCUAAUACAAGAGGCUAAUGACGGUACCUGAAGAAGAAGCACCGGCUAACUACGUGCCAGCAGCCGCGGUAAUACGUAGGGUGCGAGCGUUAAUCGGAAUUACUGGGCGUAAAGCGUGCGCAGGCGGUUAUGUAAGACAGAUGUGAAAUCCCCGGGCUUAACCUGGGAACUGCGUUUGUGACUGCAUAACUUGAGUGUGGCAGAGGGGGGUGGAAUUCCACGUGUAGCAGUGAAAUGCGUAGAGAUGUGGAGGAACACCGAUGGCGAAGGCAGCCCCCUGGGUCAACACUGACGCUCAUGCACGAAAGC